rnacentral:rRNA from 1 species
GAUGAACGCUAGCGGCAGGCUUAAUACAUGCAAGUCGAGGGGGAUCAGUUGGGUAGCAAUACCUGGCUGUGAGACCGGCAAACGGGUGAGGAACACGUACGCAACUUUCCCAAAACUGGUGAAUAGCCCUCCGAAAGGAGGAUUAAUACACCGUAACAUAACGAAAUGGCAUCAUUUUGUUAUUAUAGCAGCAAUGCGGUUUUGGAUAGGCGUGCUCCUGAUUAGGUAGUUGGCGGGGUAACGGCCCACCAAGCCUACGAUCAGUAACUGGUGUGAGAGCACGACCAGUCACACGGGCACUGAGACACGGGCCCGACUCCUACGGGAGGCAGCAGUAAGGAAUAUUGGUCAAUGGACGAAAGUCUGAACCAGCCAUGCCGCGUGAAGGAUGAAGGUCCUCUGGAUUGUAAACUUCUUUUAUCUGGGACGAAACACUUCUUUUCUAAGAGGCCUGACGGUACCAGAUGAAUAAGCACCGGCUAACUCCGUGCCAGCAGCCG